CCUACGGGAGGCAGCAGUGGGGAAUCUUGCACAAUGGGGGAAACCCUGAUGCAGCGACGCCGCGUGAGUGAAGAAGUAUCUCGGUACGUAAAGCUCUAUCAGCAGGGAAGAAAAUGACGGUACCUGACUAAUAAGCCCCGGCUAACUACGUGCCAGCAGCCGCGGUAAUACGUAGGGGGCAAGCGUUAUCCGGAUUGACUGGGUGUAAAGGGAGCGUAGACGGCAGCACAAAUCUGGAGUGAAAGCCCUGGGCUUAACCCGGGAACUGCUUUGGAAACUGGGCGGCUGGAGUGCAGGAGGGGUAAGUGGAACUCCUAGUGUAGCGGUGAAAUGCGUAGAUAUUAGGAGGAACACCGGUGGCGAAGGCGGCUUACUGGACUGUAACUGACGUUGAGGUUCGAAAGCGUGGGGAGCAAACAGGAUUAGAUACCCUAGUAGUC
rnacentral:rRNA from 1 species